rnacentral:rRNA from 1 species
UACGAAGGGGGCUAGCGUUGUUCGGAAUUACUGGGCGUAAAGCGCACGUAGGCGGACAUUUAAGUCAGGGGUGAAAUCCCAGAGCUCAACUCCGGAACUGCCUUUGAUACUGGGUGUCUUGAGUAUGGAAGAGGUGAGUGGAAUUCCGAGUGUAGAGGUGAAAUUCGUAGAUAUUCGGAGGAACACCAGUGGCGAAGGCGGCUCACUGGUCCAUUACUGACGCUGAGGUGCGAAAGCGUGGGGAGCAAACAGG